GUGCAGAAUGUCGGCGAGCGGCGAACGGCUGAGUAACGCGUAGGAAUUUGCCCCAAAGUGAGGAAUAACUGCCCGAAAGGGUAGCUAAUACCGCAUAUGGUCUUCGGAUUAAAGGAUUUAUCCGCUUUGGGAGAAGCCUGCGUUGGAUUAGGUUGUUGGUAGGGUAAUGGCCUACCAAGCCGACGAUCCAUAGCUGGUCUGAGAGGAUGAUCAGCCAGACUGGAACUGAGACACGGUCCAGACUCCUACGGGAGGCAGCAGUGAGGAAUCUUCCACAAUGGGCGAAAGCCUGAUGGAGCAACGCCGCGUGAAGGAUGAAGGCCUUCGGGUUGUAAACUUCUUUUAUGAGUGGAGAAUAUGACGGUAACUCAUGAAUAAGCACCGGCUAACUACGUGCCAGCAGCCGCGGUCAUACGUAGGGUGCGAGCAUUAUCCGGAGUGACUGGGCGUAAAGAGUUGCGUAGGCGGUUUAAUAAGUGAAUAGUGAAACCUGGUGGCUCAACCAUACAGACUAUUAUUCAAACUGUUAAACUCGAGAAUGGUAGAGGUAACUGGAAUUUCUUGUGUAGGAGUGAAAUCCGUAGAUAUAAGAAGGAACACCAAUGGCGUAGGCAGGUUACUGGGCCAUUUCUGACGCUAAGGCACGAAAGCGUGGGGAGCGAACCGGAUUAGAUACCCGGGUAGUCCACGCCGUAAACGAUGGAUACUAGCUGUUGGAGGUAUCGACCCCUUCAGUAGCGAAGCUAACGCGUUAAGUAUCCCGCCUGUGGAGUACGGCCGCAAGGCUAAAACAUAAAGGAAUUGACGGGGACCCGCACAAGCGGUGGAUUAUGUUCUUUAAUUCGAUGAUAACCGAAGAACCUUACCAGGGCUUGACAUCCAGGGAAGGUCUGCGAAAGUAGACUGUGCCUUUUGGAACCCUGUGACAGGUGAUGCAUGGCCGUCGUCAGCUCGUGUCGUGAGAUGUUAGGUUAAGUCCUUCAACGAGCGCAACCCUUGCAAGUAGUUGUAUUUUUCUACUUGGACUGCCCCGGUAACGGGGAGGAAGGAGGGGAUGAUGUCAGGUCAGUAUUUCCCUUACGUCCUGGGCUAGAAACGUAAUACAAUGGCUAGUACAAUGCGCAGCGAAGCCGCGAGGUGAAGCAAAUCGCAUCAAAGCUAGUCCCAGUUCGGAUUGGAGGCUGAAACUCGCCUCCAUGAAGUCGGAAUCGCUAGUAAUCGCAAAUCAGCAAGUUGCGGUGAAUACGUUCCCGGGUCU
rnacentral:rRNA from 1 species